GGCGCACCCCGUCCGUCCCCCCUUCUGUACGUCCCCGGUCGGUCCAGCGGCUCCACACGCGCCUACCGACACACAAGAAACUCUUGCCAUUAUGUUUGCUUCUGACGCAAUCAUGACAGAAUUACGUUCUAUUGAUAUGCAUGCUGCCAUUGCUUUGGAGUCGGUCUUUUGAAUUUCUGCGUUUUUUUUUUUUUUUUGAUCGGCUCCACUCUCCAGACAGCUGGCUCAGCCUGAUCGACCAGAGCAAUGCGACACCUAUACCAACUUGAUACCAACCUACUUGGCGGGGUGGUCAAUUCAUGAAGUGCGAAUGCGAAACAUGGCAAUAGAUGGCGGCAGGCGGAACGAACAGCAUGGGGAAGGCUGGGACACGCAUUGAGAAAUGAAAUCCGUCACUUCCCAGAUUUCGAACGCAUCCAUAGAGUGCAUUACUUUUAUGUGCUUGCGUUCGGUCUUGGGAUUUCUCAGCAGAUGUCGCCAACAGUAGAGAGAUUGAUCUAGAAUGUCUCGUUAUCGGAAAAGUAUGGUAGCCAUACACCAAAUGGUUUUUGCGUAUAGCUACCAUAUUACUUCCGAUAUGACUGUUGACAUUACUGCGGAUAUGACGGAGCAGUGCAUUGGCAAUAUGCCAAGGGCAGUAACAUGCCGUCAGUCACGUCAGUCAUCGGCCUUGGCUAUCUGUAAGAAUCUUGGCAGGAAUCUUGGCCUUUUCUUGGACCCAUAGCCUCGGCCUUCGACCAAUCAUAUCGCCGAAUUCGCAGGCGGUGAGAGACAAAUACGGCGUGCCAAAGACAUAUUGGGUGUCUCAAAAUCACUGAGAACUCUAUAGCUCAAAACUGAAGCCCUGCACUCUUUUAUAUCUACCCCGUAACCCGUUGAGUGGCAUUCUUGUGAAAAUUAUGUAAAGAUAUUUAUCAGAAUAAGGUAGAAGUGUAGGGGGUGGCAGGUGAGGUGCAGAAGGAGAAGAAGAAGAAGUUGUACCUAUCCAGUAAUUUUAUCUUGAUUUGUGGAUUAGACGAAGACUAGAUUUUGAUGAAGAAAUCGACAAACUUGAACUGCAGGACUCGUGGCGCUGCUCGCCUCUUCGCCAAUGCGAAUGCGUUCUCUGAGGACAACCCGCCCAAGGCUACCAUGACGAAGCCACGCCACCGCGCCGGCUAUAGACUCACGGCCUGAAGCGAGUUUGGGCGCGACGGCUGGCGAGCCAAGGCGGCGGAAAGUCGUCUGGCGGAGCUCCCGUCUGAGGCGAGCUUGAUCUGGUCAGACAGCUCCGCCACCGAUGGUGUGCUAGAUGGAGGAGGAGGGGCCACCCCCCCCCCCUGAACCGCGACAUCCGAGAGGUGCGUGUCGCGGCAGGCGCCCUCUGCUUUAGCACGCGCGGCGAGCUAUUCGCCCUAAGAGCGGUGUUGGAGGAGCUGGCCGGACGGAUGGUACCGGUCGAUAUGGGUCGACCGCCGUCUAUCCCAACGGUAGCGCCGAUCGACGUGGGCACUUUCUGCAAGGCAGGCGCGCGCGCGCGACAGGCGCGCCACGGCAGGCGCGCGCGCGACGCUGCGCGCGCCUGGCAGCGGAACUGGCCGGACGGAUGGUACCGGUCGAUAUGGGUCGACCGCUGUCCUGGCUCCGUCCUGGAGGCCGACCGUGCAGUCGUUAUCGACAUCCGCCAGUACCUGCUCUGCAUCGGCCGCCUCCCGAGGCCGGAUGCCCACAAUGCAACGACGUGGAGUGCCCUGCUGCCCGAUGCCGCGUCUGCCGCGAAGAGGCUGGCACUCCACGGUAUGUGCUGCUGCGAUGCGCGGCGCUGGCGGUGUUGCGACAAAGAGCCUCGGCAGCUGAACUGCUUCAAGCGACGUAACGAUAUCUGCCCUCCCCUCCCCUAUCGAGCCGCGUGGGUGUGGACGGACGGGUCGGCAGACGCGAGAAUUUGCAGCGAAGGAGCUGGGGUCUACGGGGAGUAGCAGCACGAAUGGACUGAUGAGCCGCGUGUCCCGGCCGGUCCAUUCUGCUGUUCCAGCUCCAGGACCGGCCGCGCCGUCGCCACCCGUCCGGCGUCAGUGGAGGACCGCUCAUCAGCUGUCGAUUUUCAUCAGUUUCGUUUGGACCACUGGUCGGGCUCCUGCCAGUGCCGACAUUGGGUUGGGCGGAGUCCUACCGAUGAAUGCCGCGAGUGCUGCAACAUUGGCUCGGUACAUCUCGGUACAUUUUCCCGAGUCUGGUGUGGCUACGGGGAGACGGAUUUGGUGACCCUGGCUGCCGCCGUGAGAACCAUCCAGAACCGUACGGCUAUGCUGCGGCAGCGGCUGAAAGGAACGCAACAACAAUAAC